rnacentral:lncRNA from 1 species
ACCUCCUUGCCUCCAUCUGCAGGGAAGGUGAGUCAGGGCACCCUAGAGGGUGGCUGGAAAGAGAAGGUGAGAAGAUGUGUUGAAUCCAAUACUGCUUGACAAACCUACAACUUUACAAAUGACCUGUGUUCCACCUAGAGAGGGUGCCAGCCCUCUCAGCAGUAUGCAGUGCCUCUCUUCUGUCUACAUCCCCAGGACCACCAUGGGUGGGGAGGGCAGAGAUUGGGGAGCACCUAUAGAGGCUCUAAUGCUCUAAGGUGACAGUGAUGAGGACCUGGGUGCACCCAUGGGUGGAGAAGCUAGGCCUGUCCAGAGAAGCAAGACAAACACACACAUACACGCGCACACACACACAGGCACACAUGCGUACACAAACACAUUGUAUAUACACAUGUCAGUUCAGGGGAUAGAGGACACUGACUCUGAGCCCUGUUGACCCAAGCAGGCUCCCGUUGUGGUGGGUUGUCAACCCACAACAUCACUCUUCCUGAGUCCCCAUCGCCUCUGUGUUGUGGAGAAGUUAGAGACACACAGCAGUGUCUGUGAGUAGCUCUGCAUGAAGGACCAUUUUCUAGAUGACAGACACAUCUCAACACAGCUCACUGAUCAGACUCAGCAAUUCCAUUCUGCAUUUUUCUCAUCACCCCCCUGACCACCCAGGACAACCCCAUCAGGGCCCUGUCACCAGGCCCAGUCCAGCUCCAUGAUAACCAAGACACAGGUCCAGAGACUACCGUCCUGCAUCGUGCCUGCAUCUGAUCCCCCUUGGUGGGUAGUGACCAGCACAACAUGGAAGAAGCCAGGGCAGCAUGCAGCUCUGCAGCCCCAGAUGGCUCCUGGGCCUUGGGAAGUCAUUCUUAAAAGGGAAGCUGGUCACUUUGAGGUCCCUGAAAGGAAGGGUGAACGUGCAUCCCAAAAGCCCUGGCAGCCGGCAGCCAGCAGCCAGCAGCAUGGCAUACAUCUUCUCACCCAACCUGUGUGACAGAGGCCCCCUCCUGGGGCACAAGUCCCAUACCUAAAGCAUCCUGUCCCAGUCGGACCUCAUCCUGAGCCCUGGGAGGGGAGGGGCACCAUGGGUUCCCUGCAGCAGCCAGGAUUACCACCCAGGGGACUCGGCCUUCUGUGGCCCUGGCCAGACUUAGAAUUUGGCCCAAGACAAGCUUACUCGGAGCAACUUCUCAGUACCUGGGGCCUGUGCAUGCCAGGCAAGGACAAGCUGGCUCAAAGAGCAACCAGCUACCUCUGCAAGGGUGUGCCAGGAGCAGGUGGAGCAGUCACCAACCUCACCCACUCAAGGAAACAGGGAUGGCCAGGUUCCCACAGUCUGAAUGACCACCACCUGACAGCUGAUGG